UACGUAGGGGGCUAGCGUUGUCCGGAUUUAUUGGGCGUAAAGAGCGUGUAGGCGGCCAGGUAGGUCUGGUGUGAAAACUCGAGGCUCAACCUCGGGCUUGCAGUGGAUACGGGCAGACUAGAGUGCGGUAGGGGAGACUGGAAUUCCUGGUGUAGCGGUGGAAUGCGCAGAUAUCAGGAGGAACACCGAUGGCGAAGGCAGGUCUCGUGGGCCGCAACUGACGCUGAGGAGCGAAAGCAUGGGGAGCGAACAGG
rnacentral:rRNA from 1 species